rnacentral:rRNA from 1 species
GACGAACGCUGGCGGCGUGCUUAACACAUGCCAGUCGAACGGAAAGGCCCUGCUUUUGUGGGGUGCUCGAGUGGCGUACGGGUGAGUAACACGUGAGUAACCUGCCCUUGACUUUGGGAUAACUUCAGGAAACUGGGGCUAAUACCGGAUAGGAGCUCCUGCUGCAUGGUGGGGGUUGGAAAGUUUCGGCGGUUGGGGAUGGACUCGCGGCUUAUCAGCUUGUUGGUGGGGUAGUGGCUUACCAAGGCUUUGACGGGUAGCCGGCCUGAGAGGGUGACCGGCCACAUUGGGACUGAGAUACGGCCCAGACUCCUACGGGAGGCAGCAGUGGGGAAUAUUGCACAAUGGGCGGAAGCCUGAUGCAGCAACGCCGCGUGCGGGAUGACGGCCUUCGGGUUGUAAACCGCUUUCGCCUGUGACGAAGCGUGAGUGACGGUAAUGGGUAAAGAAGCACCGGCUAACUACGUG